rnacentral:rRNA from 1 species
GACGAACGCUGGCGGCGUGCUUAACACAUGCAAGUCGAACGAAGAGCGAUGGAAGCUUGCUUCUAUCAAUCUUAGUGGCGCACGGGUGAGUAACGCGUAAUCAACCUGCCCUUCAGAGGGGGACAACAGUUGGAAACGACUGCUAAUACCGCAUACGAUCUAAUCUCGGCAUCGAGGAUAGAUGAAAGGUGGCCUCUACAUGUAAGCUAUCACUGAAGGAGGGGAUUGCGUCUGAUUAGCUAGUUGGAGGGGUAACGGCCCACCAAGGCGAUGAUCAGUAGCCGGUCUGAGAGGAUGAACGGCCAAAUUGGGACUGAGACACGGCCCAGACUCCUACGGGAGGCAGCAGUGGGGAAUCUUCCGCAAUGGACGAAAGUCUGACGGAGCAACGCCGCGUGAGUGAUGACGGCCUUCGGGUUGUAAAGCUCUGUUAAUCGGGACGAAAGGCCUUCUUGCGAAUAGGGAGAAGGAUUGACGGUACCGGAAGAGAAAGCCACGGCUAACUACGUG